rnacentral:rRNA from 1 species
UACGACUACAUAUCAGGCAUAUCAAUAAGCGGAGGAAAAGAAACUAACUAGGAUUCCCUCAGUAACGGCGAGUGAAGCGGGAAGAGCUCAAAUUUGAAAUCUUCAAGGUUUUACCUUGACGAAUUGUAGUUUAAAGAAGUGUUUUCUGUUGGAUGUUUUGGUAAAAGUUCUUUGGAAUAGGACAUCAUAGAGGGUGAGAAUCCCGUAUUUGACCAUUAUUUCCAGCUUUGUGAUACACUUUCAAAGAGUCGGAUUGUUUGGGAAUGCAGUCCAAAAUGGGUGGUAAAUUUCAUCUAAAGCUAAAUAUUGGCGAGAGACCGAUAGCGAACAAGUACCGUGAGGGAAAGAUGAAAAGAACUUUGAAAAGAGAGUUAAACAGUACGUGAAAUUGUCAAAAGGGAAGCGUUUGACACCAGUGUUGUUUUCUCGAAAAUCAAUUAAAAAGUGUUGGAUUUUGUAUUGUUAAGACCUUAUCAGCUUACUGUACUUUUUUCCUGCUCUUUUUAAUGCACUUUUCGUUUAACAAGUCAACAUCAAUUUCUUUUGUUGUAAAAGAGUCAUUGGAAGGUGGCUUUCACUUCGGUGAAAGUGUUUAUAGCCUUUGACUCCUGCAAUCGGAGAGACUGAGGUCUGCAGCGUAGAUCCUUCUGGAUUAGAUUCACUUGUGCUAAGUUAUAGCUUUUCAUAGACAACUUGUUGACUAUGUUUAGUCUUGUAGCUUACUCGCUUGUGUAAUUUUACCUACGCUUAGGAUGUUGAACGCGCACAGAGUCUC